UACGGAGGGUGCAAGCGUUAUCCGGAUUCACUGGGUUUAAAGGGUGCGUAGGCGGGUAAGUAAGUCCGUGGUGAAAUCUCUGAGCUUAACUCAGAAACUGCCGUGGAUACUAUUUGCCUUGAAUAUUGUGGAGGUGAGCGGAAUAUGUCAUGUAGCGGUGAAAUGCUUAGAUAUGACACAGAACACCAAUUGCGUAGGCAGCUCGCUAAACUCUUACUGACGCUGAGGCACGAAAGCAUGGGGAUCAAACAGG
rnacentral:rRNA from 1 species